UACGUAGGGGGCUAGCGUUGUCCGGAAUCAUUGGGCGUAAAGCGCGUGUAGGCGGUUCGGUAAGUCCGCUGUGAAAGUCGGGGGCUCAACCCUCGAAUGCCGGUGGAUACUGUCGGACUAGAGUACGGAAGAGGCGAGUGGAAUUCCUGGUGUAGCGGUGAAAUGCGCAGAUAUCAGGAGGAACACCAAUUGCGAAGGCAGCUCGCUGGGACGUUACUGACGCUGAGACGCGAAAGCGUGGGAGAACAAGAUGA
rnacentral:rRNA from 1 species